ACAUACGGGUGGAGAUGCAAACACGUUUUGGGAUUUUACUAGAUGUUACGGGGAACUGUUACGUUAAAGAACUCAAUUACCCAGCAGUCUUUGUUGACGGACAUGCGCAGAGUAGAGGGCGGCUCGUAGUGUCGCGUGAGUUAAUGCUGUUAUCGCGAGAGGUCGCCAUUGGAGCCUCUGCGUUGAACAGCUGCAGGUCCAGUUGUAUGCAGUCCGUAUUUUAUAUUUUAAACUGCUUACUACACACCUAUGCUUACACCCAAACGGACUAAACCAAGUGGAGAUGCUUUGGACGGUGAGUGAUGACUUUUUCCUUGUGCGUUCUCCAGUCUUACCCACUUAAAUAGCGGGGAUACUGCGGGGAACGUGGUAACAAUGGCUCGUUUCUAACAGCUGUUUGAGGGAGAACGGUAUUAGUAUUUGCUAUGGACUUAAUUGCCAACAUUAAGAGCCUGUCAUAUGAGGCCAGACGUGAGUCGUGUUCUACAUUCAAGAGGGUUUUUAUUUAGCACAGCCCAAAGCAACCUAAAUUCGAUGACCUCAUAACGACCAGCAUACGUCUUUUAGCUAAGCUAACUACGGUAGCUUCACAGGGAUAAAAGACCCCUCUUCACGCUAUCAGCGCCACUUUGUUUACGUUUCCGUGUGCCCUAAAUAACUUUCUAUAAUCUGCCCGCAGCCUGCAGCCGGGCGCAGCUAAAUGACACGUAAUGUAUUAUGGCCCGUGCAAAGUCAUGCCACCAGUCUGAGGACAUCACUGGGAAUGGCACAUGGGACACGUGGCUUUCAACUCCAGCGAGGUGGGCUUCACCGCGGGCAAUCGUGGCAAAGACCCAAGUCGACUGGACCACAGCGGAAAAUGAUCCUUCCAGAGAAGAAGUUAUUUACUUCUACAACGAAUGGAAGAGUUACAACUUCCAGAUGACAGCUCGCCGCUCAUCCUUCUGGGCAACUUGAACAUCCGACAGAACUUAUGUGACCUACUGCGUUUAUUUUCUCCUUUAGCUCUCAUUUAAGUAUUAAAAUUCGCUGUAUUUUUGCAAGAGAGGCACCAAUCCUAUUUGAGUGACGUUUCGAAUGUGAAAUUGUAUUGGACCAUAUAGGUCAUCUGCAGAGCGUUGGCCCCUGGCGCAGUAAACCAGGGUUUGAUUCUUGGCAUGCACAAGACUCCUCAUGUGACUUAAAAUGAAUCCAGAAUGCAAUAUUUGUUCAGUAUGCAAGGGCAGUGAUUUAUUUAGUCAUGUUUGGUCAUGUUUUGUUUUUUUUACAUGACAAUAUGGUUUGGUACAUGCUGAGUUAAUGAAUAUACAUUCUAAAGUGCAAUGUCCAUAUGUUAAUAAGAGUUGUAUACGUUUAUCAUAGUCAACAUGGUGUGGAAAUAUCCCUUAUGUAGUUGGUCAAUGGGAACUAUAGUAGGCAGUAAUAACAGCUAAGGUAAUUACAGGUGGAUAUUUCUGGGAAUUAACCUUGAUUGAGACUGCAUCUAUGAUAUCUAAGAUAUACAGGACAAGAAAAAUGCACUGGAUGUGUAUAUGUGUUGAAUCAAUUAUACAGACGCAAACUGGAGAACGAGACAAGUGUUGCUGUGAUACUUAUUGUGGUCAUCGUGCCCGAGACCCGUAACGAUUACUCCGCAGGUCUUUUGCAGCGGGGCAACAGCCCGGCGUCGGUGGAUUCCGUUCGCGAGGCCGCAGAUUCAGGUUUGAAUGGCAGCCCCGAGAGUGAUUUGUUUAGUCUCUUUAGUCUUUUUUGACCCGCGAGCCCGGCCGACCGCCGCCCCACCCCGACGUGCGAGAAUAGGCGAAGGCCCGUUCAUCG